UGGCCUCCCUGUGACGAAAAGUUUGGUUAUGUCUUAAUUGAUGGAUUAAUAACUAGAGAAACAAGACAAAAUAGACAAAAGAGAAGAAAAGAGUGACUGUUAUUAAAAAGUUUAAAUAAAGUAUUUAUUGGAUUGAAAUUAUUUAUUAAUAUGUCCAGCUAGAAUUAAUUCAUAUGUAAAUCUAAACAUCGAUCAUGUUCAACUACGAAAGAUAAGUUAUUGCAUUCGUUAACCUAACAUAAAGAUAUAAGUAAUCAUUAUUUUUGAUGAUAGAAUGGAAGAGAUACGACGUCCGGUAUUUUCGUCAUCAAUUUUACUUAUCUACAAUAAGAAAUGGUAUUGGACUCAUGACGACACAUGAACGUUGGCGUCGUGAUUUUAUUCGUUAUCGUUAAUAGUACAAUGUGGUAUGUAGUUAGAAAUGUGCAAGAUGUUUUUGAUGACAGUCGAGUAGAAUUGAUAUCUCUAAAUUUGUCUCACCAUUCUUCUUUUUUUAUUUACAAUGUUCUUUUAUAGAAACUCCUUUUAGUUUGCAAUAAGAAUAUAUUUUUCUUUUUGUUAUGUAUUUUUUAUUGAGUGUGUUGUAUAUAUAUAUAUAUAUAUAUAUAUAUAUAUAUGUAUAUUAAUAUAUAUAUAUAUAUUAGUGAAUUUAAUGAUAGAUUCUUUCAACUUUUAUCGUCGAUGUAUGAUUAGUAAACGACAUCAUAAGGAUAGGGAGGAUUGAUGCUCGGUGUUCACAGUGCAGUUUGAAAUAACCUAGACGCAAUCCUUUUGAAAGUCACUUUCAUGAAAAUCAUCGAGAUUUCUCUCAUACUUUUCUUCUCCUCUAUGCUAGCUAGUUUCUUUGUUCUCAUUGAGCUUAUAAUAAAGUAAUGAGGACAUUCUACUUUUUUCCUUUUAAUUCUUUAUAUCUGUUUUAGAUAUCGUGAACUAAUUUCAUAUGGAGGACAAUUAAUGAAAAAAACCAUAUACGUGAGCACGUUUUUGAUUACGCUUUUUUAACAAGUCAUGUUGCAUUUCUUCAAAUAUCGUUGUGAGAUAAAAAUGGUAGACUUUAUGUCGACAGUAUGAAUGAAUACUACUUAAAUCAUGGAAUGGAUGUAUUAUUCUUAGAGUAAAUCUCGCUGGUUGUUCUAAUGUGUCUGACAGUUUCGUGGCUAAAGUCGAAGUCGUGAUUUAGUUCUAUUUCUUUCAUAGCAAUCUACUUAGAAAUAAUCUUUUUAUAAUCGUAACGUCUGUACGCUGAUGUCAUGGUUUCAUUCGUUAUUAUUUUUGCGGUAGGCGCGAAGCUAUAUUUGUUCGAUGGAUACUAGCUCGACACGCCUUCGUAUCGUCCUUAUUGAUUUCAGGGAUGGUUUACAAGAAUUGCAAUAUAUUUAAUUCUAUAAAUAUUAUUUUUAGAAUUAUAUUACUAGAUUACUUGUAAUAGCCAUUUUUUUGUUAAUGGUUUAUUCUACAUUAUAGCUAAAAAACAGACGUGUUAUACAGCUAUCACAGAAUUUUUUUAAGUGAUGAGUGAAUUUUUCAAUUUCUCCGUUUUUGUAAUCACUUGUCAACAAUGAAAAGGUUCGAAUCGAUACGGAUGAUUGGUUGGAAUUAAUUUGUAGAAGAGCAUUGAAUGACUAAUUUUUCUUUGGGAAUUUAAUCAUAAUAUGCAGAUAAGAUCAAGGUGUUAACAUGGAAUGGACAUCUUAAAAAUCGAUCCACCCGAGCAAGAUCAGAGUAUCAAAAUCGAGCAAAAUUCCAAGAGCUCACAUCUUAGAGUUAUUGUAAUUAAUUACAUUUGGAAAAAGGCGAAUGACACUGAUUUCAUCCUUUGAUGAUGAGAAGGUGAUAAAGAAAAGAAAAGAAAGCUAGAAGAUAUGAUGGAACGCACACGAGCUUGAGAAUGAUGGAACUGAUAACGAUGGUUAGACAUCUUGAAGAUCCCUUCAUUCGGUUAAAAUAAAAAUAGAAAAAUGCAAUUCAAUUUUUUUUCUACUGAAAGAAGAAAAUCCGUCCCUUCGCGAUUAUUGCCUUUUUAUUUCAGCAAUACAACGAUCGAUUCUUCCUCAGCUUCGCGCAUAAUUGCAAUGUUGUUCGAAACUAAAAAACACAAAAUUAUUAAUAUCAUUGUUAUAAUAAGAAAGGAUUGAAAAUAUUUUUAAUGUUUGAUAUAAAAAUAUACCUAUUCUAAAUCUUCGUUUUUGUUGCACAAUAAGUAUUUUGCACCAAGCGACGAAGAACUUUGAAGAAAAUUAGAAAAUAUAAAUGAAUUUCUUAUUCUGGAUUAUCUGGAAUGAAAUUUCCAUAUGCGGCGAAUAAGACUGAUUUUCCUUCGCGAUUUUAUUGAUAUUACAUAAAGGCAACGACUCCGAGUUCAAAAUUUGAUGUUUAUCUGAUGGAAUGCAAAAGAAAAGUAAUUACUAUCAGAAUCAGUAGAAAAUUAAUUUUUAUCGAUAUUAGAUGAAAGCAUUAGAUGAACAACUUCAAGUUCUAAAUUUUAUUGUAUGAAAAUAUUAGAUUCAAAUUACUUUAUAUUUAAUGCAUAUUACGAGUUACAUAAGUUUAACACUAACCGUACCGGCAUUUCACGUAUAUCUAUUCUUACCUUAACUAGGGUACCCUAUUUGAUCGGUUACGAAAUAAAUGUUUUUUCAGAAGGAAUUAUCAAUUUAUUCUAAGAAUUAAUAGAUAACAUAACUUUUAAAUAAUAAUAAAAUAAUCAAUCAUA